rnacentral:rRNA from 1 species
CGGACGGGUGAGUAACGCGUGAGGAACCUGCCUUGAAGAGGGGGACAACAGUUGGAAACGACUGCUAAUACCGCAUGACGUAUAGAGGUCGCAUGAUCUUUAUGCCAAAGAUUUAUCGCUUCAAGAUGGCCUCGCGUCUGAUUAGCUGGUUGGCGGGGUAACGGCCCACCAAGGCGACGAUCAGUAGCCGGACUGAGAGGUUGAACGGCCACAUUGGGACCGAGAUACGGCCCAGACUCCUACGGGAGGCAGCAGUGGGGAAUAUUGGGCAAUGGGCGCAAGCCUGACCCAGCAACGCCGCGUGAAGGAAGAAGGCUUUCGGGUUGUAAACUUCUUUUAAGAGGGAAGAGCAGAAGACGGUACCUCUAGAAUAAGCCACGGCUAACUACGUGCCAGCAGCCGCGGUAAUACGUAGGUGGCAAGCGUUGUCCGGAUUUACUGGGUGUAAAGGGCGUGCAGCCGGGUCUGCAAGUCAGAUGUGAAAUCCAUGGGCUCAACCCAUGAACUGCAUUUGAAACUGUAGAUCUUGAGUGUCGGAGGGGCAAUCGGAAUUCCUAGUGUAGCGGUGAAAUGCGUAGAUAUUAGGAGGAACACCAG